GUACGUAAUGUUUCAGCAUAUUUUAUUAACUCGCGGUUUAGUGAUUCGAACUCACAAACCACAAAAUUUUGGCAGUUUAUUUACGAUUCAGCAAGCAUUCAUAAUGACCAUCUUACUGAAUUUCAGGUAUUUUAAAAAUGUGGCAUUGAUUCAUCAUCGAAUUUUACUUAUCAACAGUAAAGAAAGUACUGCUGUUGAGAAGUAAAAAACUGUUUUUUUUUCUUGCCCGCAUCCUAUCUUUUCCCCAUACUAUAGAAAAAAAUCAUAAAGCAGAGUAGACCCCUAAAUUACAAGACGUAAGUUUGUUCUUAUACAGAAAUAUUUUCGUUAAGUUACAGACGCUUUAAACUUGGACCAUCUGCAGCAGGCGUGUCGGGGUGAGGACGGUUUGUUUGACUGCGGCAAUGGCCAGUGCAUCCCUCGACGUCUUCUAAGGAAUCUCGGCCGAGACUGCGAUAAUAACGCCGACGAGGAAGCAGGUUAUUUUCAAUGCAACGACAACGAGGUGAAGUGUCGUUUCAGCAACCGCUGUGCGCAAAGACAUAAUAUCAACACAGCGGAUAGCUGCACUGAAAACGAACAGUUUAUUCUGCCAUGUCGCGAAGAGGAAGGUAUACCAAUGUUUAACAUGUAUACAGUAUGUUUGAAAAGUCACUGUGCACUUGCGUAUUUAUUAACAGACAUGUUUCAGUAUAGAAUCCAGGAGGUAAAUAUGAAUGACAAUUAUAAAUGAUGUUGAAAGUGA